UACGUAGGGGGCAAGCGUUGUCCGGAAUCACUGGGCGUAAAGGGUGCGUAGGCGGCCGUGCAAGUCUGGCGUGAAAGCCCCGGGCUCAGCCCGGGAAGUGCGCUCGAAACUGCGCGGCUCGAGUGCCGGAGGGGAGAGUGGAAUUCCUGGUGUAGCGGUGAAAUGCGUAGAUAUCAGGAGGAAUACCGGUGGCGAAAGCGACUCUCUGGACGGCAACUGACGCUGAGGCACGAAAGCGUGGGGAGCAAACAGG
rnacentral:rRNA from 1 species